rnacentral:rRNA from 1 species
UACGGGGGGGGCAAGCGUUGCUCGGAAUUACUGGGCGUAAAGGGCUCGUAGGCGGCCAACUAAGUCAGACGUGAAAUCCCUCGGCUUAACCGGGGAACUGCGUCUGAUACUGGAUGGCUUGAGUUUGGGAGAGGGAUGCGGAAUUCCAGGUGUAGCGGUGAAAUGCGCAGAUAUCAGGAAGAACACCCGUGGCGAAGGCGGCUCUCUGGGACGGUACUGACGCUGAGACGCGAAAGCGUGGGGAGCGAACAGG